AUUGAACGCUGGCGGCAGGCCUAACACAUGCAAGUCGAGCGAGUGGCGGACGGGUGAGUAAUGUAUGGGAAACUGCCUGAUGGAGGGGGAUAACUACUGGAAACGGUAGCUAAUACAGCAUACUAUCGGAUGUACCCAGAUGGGAUUAGCUAGUAGGUGGGGUAACGGCUCACCUAGGCGACGAUCCCUAGCUGGUCUGAGAGGAUGAACAGCCACACUGGGACUGAGACACGGCCCAGACUCCUACGGGAGGCAGCAGUGGGGAAGAUUGCACAAUGGGCGCAAGCCUGAUGCAGCCAUGCCGCGUGUAUGAAGAAGGCCUUAGGGUUGUAAAGUACUUUCAGCGGGGAGGCGUUACCCGCAGAAGAAGCACCGGCUAACUCCGUGCCAGCAGCCGCGGUAAUUC
rnacentral:rRNA from 1 species